GUCGGUGGUAAUAGCAGUGGGGACACGCCCGGUCCCAUUCCGAACCCGGAAGCUAAGCCCACCAGCGCUGAUGGUACUGCACCCGGGAGGGUGUGGGAGAGUAAGUCACCGCCGACC
rnacentral:rRNA from 1 species